rnacentral:rRNA from 1 species
AUUGAACGCUGGCGGCAGGCCUAACACAUGCAAGUCGAGCGGAUGAAGGGAGCUUGCUCCUGGAUUCAGCGGCGGACGGGUGAGUAAUGCCUAGGAAUCUGCCUGGUAGUGGGGGAUAACGUCCGGAAACGGGCGCUAAUACCGCAUACGUCCUGAGGGAGCAAGUGGGGGAUCUUCGGACCUCACGCUCUCAGAUGAGCCUAGGUCGGAUUAGCUAGUUGGUGGGGUAAAGGCCUACCAAGGCGACGAUCCGUAACUGGUCUGAGAGGAUGAUCAGUCACACUGGAGCUGAGACACGGUCCAGACUCCUACGGGAGGGAGCAGUGGGGAAUAUUGGACAGUGGGCGAGAGCCUGAUACAGCCAUGCCGCGUGUGUGAAGAAGGUCUUCGGAUUGUAAAGCACUUUAAGUUGGGAGGAAGGGCAGUAAGUUGAUACCUUGCUGUUUUGACGUUACCAACAGAAUAAGCACCGGCUAACUUCGUG